rnacentral:rRNA from 1 species
UACAGAGGGUGCGAGCGUUAAUCGGAAUUACUGGGCGUAAAGCGCGCGUAGGCGGCUUUGUAAGUUAGAGGUGAAAGCCCGGAGCUCAACUCCGGAACUGCCUUUAAAACUGCAUCGCUUGAAUCCAGGAGAGGUGAGUGGAAUUCCGAGUGUAGAGGUGAAAUUCGUAGAUAUUCGGAAGAACACCAGUGGCGAAGGCGGCUCACUGGACUGGUAUUGACGCUGAGGUGCGAAAGCGUGGGGAGCAAACAGG